UACAGAGGUCCCAAGCGUUGUUCGGAAUUACUGGGCGUAAAGCGUGCGUAGGCGGCGGGGUAAGUCGGGUGUGAAAUCUCAGGGCUCAACCCUGAAAUUGCAUUCGAUACUACUUUGCUUGAGCUCUGAAGAGGAGGUUGGAAUUUACGGUGUAGCAGUGAAAUGCGUAGAUAUCGUAAGGAAGGCCGGUGGCGAAAGCGAACCUCUGGGCAGCAGCUGACGCUGUGGCACGAAGGCUAGGGGAGCAAACGGG
rnacentral:rRNA from 1 species